rnacentral:rRNA from 1 species
UACGGAGGGGGCUAGCGUUGUUCGGAAUUACUGGGCGCAAAGCGCACGUAGGCGGCUUUGUAAGUUAGAGGUGAAAGCCCGGGGCUCAACUCCGGAAUUGCCUUUAAGACUGCAUCGCUAGAAUUGUGGAGAGGUAAGUGGAAUUCCGAGUGUAGAGGUGAAAUUCGUAGAUAUUCGGAAGAACACCAGUGGCGAAGGCGACUUACUGGACACAUAUUGACGCUGAGGUGCGAAAGCGUGGGGAGCAAAGCAGG